rnacentral:rRNA from 1 species
GAUGAACGCUGGCGGCGUGCCUAAUACAUGCAAGUCGAGCGAAUGGAUUAAGAGCUUGCUCUUAUGAAGUUAGCGGCGGACGGGUGAGUAACACGUGGGUAACCUGCCCAUAAGACUGGGAUAACUCCGGGAAACCGGGGCUAAUACCGGAUAACAUUUUGAACCGCAUGGUUCGAAAUUGAAAGGCGGCUUCGGCUGUCACUUAUGGAUGGACCCGCGUCGCAUUAGCUAGUUGGUGAGGUAACGGCUCACCAAGGCAACGAUGCGUAGCCGACCUGAGAGGGUGAUCGGCCACACUGGGGCUGAGACACGGCCCAGACUCCUACGGGAGGCAGCAGUAGGGAAUCUUCCGAAAUGGACGAAAGUCUGACGGAGCAACGCCGCGUGAGUGAUGAAGGCUUUCGGGUCGUAAAACUCUGUUGUUAGGGAAGAACAAGUGCUAGUUGAAUGAGCUGGCACCUUGACGGUACCUAACCAGAAAGCCACGGCUAACUACGUGCCAGCCGCCGCGGUAA